rnacentral:sRNA from 1 species
GGGAUCAUUACACAAAUAUGAAGGCGGGCUGGAACCUCUCGGGGUUACAGCCUUGCUGAAUUAUUCACCCUUGUCUUUUGCGUACUUCUUGUUUCCUUGGUGGGUUCGCCCACCACUAGGACAAACAUAAACCUUUUGUAAUUGCAAUCAGCGUCAGUAACAAAUUAAUAAUUACAACUUUCAACAACGGAUCUCUUGGUUCUGGCAUCGAUGAAGAACGCAGCGAAAUGCGAUAAGUAGUGUGAAUUGCAGAAUUCAGUGAAUCAUCGAAUCUUUGAACGCACAUUGCGCCCUUUGGUAUUCCAAAGGGCAUGCCUGUUCGAGCGUCAUUUGUACCCUCAAGCUUUGCUUGGUGUUGGGCGUCUUGUCUCUAGCUUUGCUGGAGACUCGCCUUAAAGUAAUUGGCAGCCGGCCUACUGGUUUCGGAGCGCAGCACAAGUCGCACUCUCUAUCAGCAAAGGUCUAGCAUCCAUUAAGCCUUUUUUUCAACUUUUGACCUCGGAUCAGGUAGGGAUACCCGCUGAACUUAAGCAUAUCAAUAAGCGGAGG